rnacentral:rRNA from 1 species
AAUGAACGUUGGCGGUGCGCCUUAUGCAUGCAAGUCAAACGGGGUUAUGAUCUUCGGAUUGUAACCCAGUGGCGAACGGCUGAGUAACACGUAAGUAACCUGCCUGGGAGUGGGAAAUAACCUGCCGAAAGGCAAGCUAAUGUCCCAGUGGUAACGAAGCACACGCUUGGUUACUAAAGCCUUCGGGCGCUCCGAGAGGGGCUUGCGUCCGAUUAGCUAGUUGGUAGGGUAACGGCCUACCAAGGCAAUGAUCGGUAGCUGGUCUGAGAGGACGGCCAGCCAGAUGGGGACUGAGACACGGCCCCAACUCCUACGGGAGGCAGCAGCAAGGAAUCUUGGGCAAUGAGCGAAAGCUUGACCCAGCGACACCGCGUGAGGGACGAAGGCCUUCGGGUUGUAAACCUCUUUUCUUGGGGAAGAAUUUUGACGGUACCCAAGGAAUAAGCCUCGGCUAACUACGUGCCAGCAGCCGCGGUAAUACGUAGGAGGCGAACGUUAUUCGGAUUUACUGGGCGUAAAGGGAGCGUAGGCGGUUCUUCAAGUCAGGUGUGAAAUCUUCUGACUCAAUCAGAAGGCGCCAUCUGAUACUGAUGGACUUGAGAGCAACAGAGGGAAAUGGAAUCCCCAGUGUAGCGGUGAAAUGCGUAGAUAUUGGGGAGAACACCAGUGGCGAAGGCGAUUUCCCAGGUUGUUUCUGACGCUGAGGCUCGAAAGCGUGGGGAGCGAAGCGGAUUAGAUACCCGCGUAGUCCACGCCGUAAACGGUGGACACUAGAUAUGGGAGGUAUCGACCCCUUCCGUGUCGAAGCUAACGCUUUAAGUGUCCCGCCUGGGGAGACGGCCGCAAGGCU